rnacentral:rRNA from 1 species
GAGUUUGAUCCUGGCUCAGAUUGAACGCUGGCGGCAGGCUUAACACAUGCAAGUCGAGCGGGGGAAGUUGCUUCGGUAACUGACCUAGCGGCGGACGGGUGAGUAAUACUUAGGAAUCUGCCUAUUAAUGGGGGACAACAUCUCGAAAGGGAUGCUAAUACCGCAUACGCCCUACGGGGGAAAGCAGGGGAUCACUUGUGACCUUGCGUUAAUAGAUGAGCCUAAGUCGGAUUAGCUAGUUGGUGGGGUAAAGGCCUACCAAGGCGACGAUCUGUAGCGGGUCUGAGAGGAUGAUCCGCCACACUGGGACUGAGACACGGCCCAGACUCCUACGGGAGGCAGCAGUGGGGAAUAUUGGACAAUGGGGGGAACCCUGAUCCAGCCAUGCCGCGUGUGUGAAGAAGGCCUUAUGGUUGUAAAGCACUUUAAGCGAGGAGGAGGCUCUUUUGGUUAAUACCCAAGAUGAGUGGACGUUACUCGCAGAAUAAGCACCGGCUAACUCUGUGCCAGCAGCCGCGGUAAUACAGAGGGUGCGAGCGUUAAUCGGAUUUACUGGGCGUAAAGCGUGCGUAGGCGGCUUUUUAAGUCGGAUGUGAAAUCCCCGAGCUUAACUUGGGAAUUGCAUUCGAUACUGGGAAGCUAGAGUAUGGGAGAGGAUGGUAGAAUUCCAGGUGUAGCGGUGAAAUGCGUAGAGAUCUGGAGGAAUACCGAUGGCGAAGGCAGCCAUCUGGCCUAAUACUGACGCUGAGGUACGAAAGCAUGGGGAGCAAACAGGAUUAGAUACCCUGGUAGUCCAUGCC